AACGAACGCCGGCGGCAUGCCUAACACAUGCAAGUCGAACGAGAUCUUCGGGUCUAGUGGCGCACGGGUGCGUAACGCGUGGGAAUCUGCCCUUUGGUUCGGAAUAACAGUUGGAAACGACUGCUAAUACCGGAUGAUGACGAAAGUCCAAAGAUUUAUCGCCAGAGGAUGAGCCCGCGUAGGGUUAGCUAGUUGGUGUGGUAAAGGCGCACCAAGGCGACGAUCCUUAGCUGGUCUGAGGGGAUGGUCAGCCACACUGGGACUGAGACACGGCCCAGACUCCUACGGGAGGCAGCAGUGGGGAAUAUUGGACAAUGGGCGAAAGCCUGAUCCAGCAAUGCCGCGUGAGUGAUGAAGGCCUUAGGGUUGUAAAGCUCUUUUACCCGGGAUGAUAAUGACAGUACCGGGAGAAUAAGCUCCGGCUAACUCCGUGCCAGCCGCCGCAGUAA
rnacentral:rRNA from 1 species